GGAGCCAUUAUGUUCUUUGGGCAUUUGCAUCUCUCAGGGGCAAGUGUUAAAGGUGGCUCGUCGGUCGGUGGACUGAAGGAUCCUGACGCCACGUGUGAAGAGUCAGCGUCCCUCACCGGCGCUCCUGCCGGGAUGUGAGGAAACACACGAUGAGUCAUAACUUAUAGAGAACAUUGAAUCCAGUUACAGGCAGCAGAAGAGCAUUUGGAUGGAUUCACACAGCAAAAGUGAUCACGUUCAGUUUUGGAUAUCUUGAUGAGCAACAUGACCCUCAACAGCCAGUUUUCAUUUUGAUGUUUAAUGCUACAUUUCUGUGCGAUUUAAAAAUUAUAUGUGUCAUAAAAUUGCAAAUUAUAAACUAACUUUUUUUUUUUUUCCUGUGUGUGACUAACCACUUCGGUCUGUAUUAGAACUGGUCAAUUAGAUUUUCCCAGCGCCCACAUAAUGCUGCUGCCUGCUAAGUAUUCCCCAAAUUGGAUAAGAAUAAAGUAUUUAAGGUGGUUUGGAAGGAAUAAGGAGAUCAUUGUAACUCAAAAUACCAACACA